rnacentral:rRNA from 1 species
GAUGAACGCUGGCGGCGUGCCUAAUACAUGCAAGUCGAGCGAACGGACGAGAAGCUUGCUUCUCUGAUGUUAGCGGCGGACGGGUGAGUAACACGUGGAUAACCUACCUAUAAGACUGGGAUAACUUCGGGAAACCGGAGCUAAUACCGGAUAAUAUUUUGAACCGCAUGGUUCAAAAGUGAAAGACGGUCUUGCUGUCACUUAUAGAUGGAUCCGCGCUGCAUUAGCUAGUUGGUAAGGUAACGGCUUACCAAGGCAACGAUGCAUAGCCGACCUGAGAGGGUGAUCGGCCACACUGGAACUGAGACACGGUCCAGACUCCUACGGGAGGCAGCAGUAGGGAAUCUUCCGCAAUGGGCGAAAGCCUGACGGAGCAACGCCGCGUGAGUGAUGAAGGCCUUCGGAUCGUAAAACUCUAUUAUUAGGGAAGAACAUAUGUGUAAGUAACUGUGCACAUCUUGACGGUACCUAAUCAGAAAGCCACGGCUAACUACGUG